AGGGGUUAGUUCAGUUGGUAGAACAUCGGACUUUGAUUCCGAAUGUCACAGGUUCGAAUCCUGUACCCCUUGCCA
rnacentral:tRNA from 1 species